rfam:Silicibacter lacuscaerulensis ITI-1157 genomic scaffold scf_1113211289287, whole genome shotgun sequence.
GACCAACCGUUGGGGUGCCCCGGAAGUGGGGCUGAGAGGCGCGAGCCAACCCAUCGAACCUGAUCCGGGCAAUACCGGCGGAGGGAACGGUCUCAAAGUCUCA